rnacentral:rRNA from 1 species
UACGUAGGGACCAAGCGUUGUUCGGAUUUACUGGGCGUAAAGGGCGCGUAGGCGGCAUGACAAGUCACUUGUGAAAUCUCUGGGCUUAACCCAGAACGGCCAAGUGAUACUGUCGCGCUAGAGUGCAGAAGGGGCAAUCGGAAUUCUCGGUGUAGCGGUGAAAUGCGUAGAUAUCGGGAGGAAGGCCGGUGGCGAAGGCGGCGCUCUGGAACAUUUCUGACGCUGAGGCUCGAAAGCGUGGGGAGCAAACAGGG